rnacentral:rRNA from 1 species
CAGUAGCCGCGGGAAUACGUAGGGCGCAAGCGUUAUCCGGAAUUAUUGGGCGUAAAGAGCUCGUAGGCGGUUUGUCGCGUCUGCCGUGAAAGUCCGGGGCUCAACCCCGGAUCUGCGGUGGGUACGGGCAGACUAGAGUGAUGUAGGGGAGACUGGAAUUCCUGGUGUAGCGGUGAAAUGCGCAGAUAUCAGGAGGAACACCGAUGGCGAAGGCAGGUCUCUGGGCAUUAACUGACGCUGAGGAGCGAAAGCAUGGGGAGCGAACAGGAUUAGAUACCCGGGUAGUCCCUGUCUCUUAUAC